rnacentral:rRNA from 1 species
UCCGUAGGUGAACCUGCGGAAGGAUCAUUACAGAGUUCCUGCCCUCACGGGUAGAAACCCCACCCUUGAUUAUUAUAUGAUUGUUGCUUUGGCAUGGCCGCCCUCGGGCGCUGGCUUCACGCUGGAGAGUGCCUGCCAGAGGACCCCAAACUCUGAAUGUUAGUGUCGUCUGAGUACUAUUUAAUAGUUAAAACUUUCAACAACGGAUCUCUUGGUUCUGGCAUCGAUGAAGAACGCAGCGAAAUGCGAUAAGUAAUGUGAAUUGCAGAAUUCAGUGAAUCAUCGAAUCUUUGAACGCACAUUGCGCCCCUUGGUAUUCCGAGGGGCAUGCCUGUUCGAGCGUCAUUAAAACCAAUCCAGCUUGCUGGGUCUUGGGCUUCGCCUCCUGGGCGGGCCUCAAAAUCAGUGGCGGUGCUGCCAGGCUCUAAGCGUAGUAAUACUUCUCGCUUUUGGGUCCUGGGAGUGGCUUGCCAACAACCCCCAAUUUUACAGGAUUGACCUCGGAUCAGGUAGGGAUACCCGCUGAACUUAAGCAUAUCAAUA